UAUAAUUUCUUUAUAUGAGGUCCUGAUCAC
rnacentral:piRNA from 1 species